GCCCUGGGCCGCUCAGUGGUUAGAGCAGCGGCCUGGGCACCGAAGGGUCCCGGGUGCGAUUCCCGGUCAGGGCA
rnacentral:tRNA from 1 species